rnacentral:lncRNA from 1 species
GGAAACAAAGUAAUAUUAAGUCACAAGGCAUAAUCUAAAUUAACAACAACAAAGGAGUUCUUUUCUCUCUUGAAAACAUUGCAAGGAUUAGUUGUCUUGUGUAGGAGUUCUUGGGCUGAAAAACUUGGCUAUAACUCUUGAAUCCAAUAUAUUUAAAGCUUCUUUAGAUUUGAUGCAAAUAGGUGUCUUGUAUUGGCUCAAAGAAGCUCCUUUGGACACAAAGUAAUCCAGUAAUGACUCAAAAGUUCCUUGUUUAACAACCCUAAUCUCCAAAGCUGCAAUCAUGUUUUCCUUCCUAUACAUUCUAUAUGUAAAAUGCAAUGAAUCUUCCAUUUUAGAGCAACAUUCUUCCAUUACCUUUGGGUCAAGUUCUUUGCCGUUGUUGUUGUUGUUGUUGCCUUCUUUUGGCUUAAUCUCCCAGAAUAUGACAUAGUGACCUGGUGUUGAAGAUGUAUCACCGUAGCUAGUGUAUUCUGUUAAGAUGAGUCCGAGCGGAUCGAGAAGUGCCUUUGCUUCUGCCACUGCCUUUAAGAUGUCUGCUUCACUUGUUCUUUCCAUAUCAACGCCUAGAGCAACGUUUUGCCUCCCAACAAAUUGGAACUGAGGUGUAUUGUUGUGGAAACCGGUCACCUUAAUAAUGUCUCCAACUUUAUAUCGAUAUAAUCCUGAAUAGUUUCGAUCAUUAUAUCAUGUGUUAGGACAUGGCAUUUGAAUGAAUUCAGCUUAUGAUUUAUAGUUUGAGGAAAUCAUACCCAUAGAAGAUGUGACAAGUACUUCAUAACAUUGACCAAGCUUCACGUUUACAAGAUCAACAGGUCCGGUAUCUUCAUGGUGAGACAUGGCGUUUAACUGAACCUGGUUUUGAGAAUCUGUAUCACAGUCUUCUUUUAUCGAAAGGAAUUCAUAGUAAACCAUAUUUGGGAGAAAUGUGUAAGAGACAUCUGAAGGUUUACAUAGAGGUUCCAAGUUGAUCCCGAUGGCACCUUCCGAGCAAGCAUAAAAACCUGACACUAAUGGUAGCCCACCACAAUAGAACUCAAGUUCUGCAGUAUAUUGUAGCAUGGCACCUGUACAUACGGUACCAAUGUACUUUGUUUUAGGCCAUAGCUUUCUGAUUAUUCCUUCCCAUGAUUUACAACUACAUACGUCUUCUAUCAAGUCAGCCAAUUCUGGAUUAGGCUUCAAGAUCAAUGAUGCUGCAUUUCUGCAACCCGAGUCAGUGAUCCAUUCACUUAUUUGACCGGUUUUUAUAUUAGAGCAUAGCUCUUUCCAGUUAUUUUCUAAGAACUUGAUAUUUCUUACAACCGUAGAUGCAAAGAUUGAGCCAAUCAUGACGACCUCAUUACGUUGUAUUAAACCAAAAAGUAUUUGACAGUACAUGCUUUGUUUGGUGUCCGGGCAAAAGAUAAUCUCAAAAGGGCUAGUGUAAAGCUUGGGUAAAAUAGCUUUAAAGCUACUCCCCUUGAAUGCUCUUGUUGAGACUGCACUUGCUUUGAGUCCAGAAGGAGUUUCGACCUCUGGUUUGGCAAACAUAAGUUCCAUCCUUUUACCGGCUUGGUUUAUGUCACCAAAGUGCCUGUAAAUGGAUAAACCGAAGUGGUUAGUUUUAGGACUCAGUUCUUCAGAGCUGUUCCUAUGCCAAUAACCAAAACAAGAGGGGCUUUCAGCAACAAUGUCUCAGGAAGAUCCAGCAGGAUGGAAACCAAAAACAAUUUAUGCUACGUUUAGAAAUUCUGGACUUGAAUUUCAUUUGCCAUAUAAGUUACGAGAAUGAAAUGCAUAAGCAUGAAUUUCAAAUUCACAAAUAUCUUCAAGUCAAGUUCAUCAAUGUAUAGGCAACCAACAAAUCUAUGACUUUGAAAAUUAAAGAGCUUUUGUACCUAGAAAAUGAAAGAAAAUAACUAGUGACUGUACCAGUAUGCAUUCUAACAACCAAUAUAUUAGGCCCUAAACCAAAGCCAACAACCAUAUAUAGACACUAGACAGUCUCCUGUUUUCAUUUUUCUUUUGAACAUGAGACCAAGUUACCGAUAUUUCAAGCCACCAACAUAAGCCUCCAUUUUCAUUGAAAAUGACUUCCGAAAAAUAAUUUUCUGGUGUUCGAAUAAAUAUGUGUAAAAUAUUUUCUUUUGUUUGACAGAUUUCUUAAAAAUAUUUCAUAAAAGUUGUUUUCAAUAAAACAAAUAUACAUUUGAAAUUUUUUUAUAUUUAUAAAUUUAUAUUUUCCAUUGUUUUUUGUAAAACAAACAUGAAAUAAAUAUAUUUGUUAUAAAAUAUUACAGUGCAAUUUCCUUUUAACAGUCGAAAUUUAUUUUAUAAUAAGAAAAUAUUUUGUGAUAAUCAAUUUCAUAUAUAAACUUAAUAAUAAAUAAUCCUUAAUUAAAACUUAAUUUAAAUUAUAUAUAUUACAUAUAUGAGAGUACAUAUUGAGAGAUUAGAGCUGUAAGGGAUAAAUGAAGCUAAGCAUUAUUUAAACAAAUAUUCAUGUUUAUAUAAUUAAAAUAAUCAUAUUUUUAUACUAGAUUAAAAUAUGUCAUAAUUUCUUGUACUCUUCAUAAAUUUAAAAUUUAGUCCAUAUGCUUUUAUUUUUGGGUUAAUCCUACUUUUUUAGAUAUCAAAAUUUAGGUUCAACCGUUAGCAUUAUUAAAAAUAUUUUGUUAAAUUCAUGUUCAUUAUAAAGUUUCGAGUAUCUUUUAUUUAAAAAUGUGACAUCAACAAAAUUGACAAAAAAUUUAACAAUGUUAACAAUUGGACUUGAUUUUCAAAUUUGAAAAAUAGAAAGACUAAAUUUUUGAAAAUAAAAUUACAGUGACUAAAUUACUAAUUUGUGAAGAGUAUAUAGAUUUAUGACAUAUUUUAACCUUUAUAAUAUAAAACAUUUAUUAUUAAUAUAUUUAUAAUAAUCAUAAAUAUUUAUUAUUAAAUUAAAAUUUAAGUAUUAAAUAAUUUAUUUAAAUAAUAAAUUAUAUUAAUAAUUUAUUAUAUGUUUAAUAAUAUUGAAAAUUAUAAUAUUUUAUAUUAAUAUUUUAUUAUUUUUAAAUAUUUUUAAAAAUAAAAAAUUAUUAUUAAUAUAAUAAUAUUAAGUUUGACUUAGGUUAAUUUUUAUAUAAAAAUAAAAUCACUCCCAAGUAGUUCUUUUUGUACAUUUAAAAAAAAAAAGAAGGUAAGUCAUUUUGCAAGAAAAAUAGCUUAUUUUUUAUUGACCUACAAGUUAUUUUCAGUUAGUCAAAAUGUUUUCCAUGAAAUAAAUACUGAAAAAUGCAGAAAAUAUUUUUCCGGAACCAUUUUCAGUGAAACAAACGAAGCCUAAGAUACUUGUGUUAUUCAAACUCGGGUGUAAAUUGGAUAUGAGUAAUUUUUACAAAAUUUUCAUACAUUUAGAAGGCCUUGAAAGGAUCAUAUCUCUAUACUCAUUUAGGGGUGUAAAUGAGACACUAAUACUACCAUCGAAAAACACUUGAACUUGGUUCGAUAAUUAUUGAGUCAAGAUUAAGCUAUUGAUCGAGCUGAAGUUGAACUUAAUUAUAGUCAGCUCGAACGGCUCACAAGCUUUAUCGAGUUUUUCAUUUUUAAUAUAUAUUUUUAAUAUUUUUAUAUUAGUAAAUUAUAUUGUUGUCUUUAUAUAUCAUUAAGACUAAGCUUAAUUAUCAAGUCGAGCAUAAACUACAACUUGAAUAGGUACGAAUUUAAAUGAGUUCAAAUAUGAAAAUUGAUAAACUAAUUUAAUGGUUAUAUCUCGAGCCGACUUCUAGCCUUAAGAUAGAUGUCCUGUACUUGUCCUUAUAUAUCAUUAAGGCUAAGCUUGGUUAAAUUACACCCUAUACUUAUUCAUCAACAAGUAAACAAUGAAUGUUAGAAGAAGCUGGAAUAAGAUAGCAAUGUCGCAUGUUUCAAUCUACUAAUCUAUCACGCUAUCAGUGUAUAAAUCAAAUUACUUACUUUAUCAUCACAGACCGGUACAACUUAUUAAACGUCGCCGUUUUGUGAGCACUUUCAGCCGUGGUAGGUACCAGCUUCGGCAGCCCACCCGAAGUCCCAGAGCUACAUUUAAUCAAACACAUGAUAGGCUUACGAUUAAAGAAACGAAAGAAAGAAGAGGGAAAACACAAUGGAAAACAGAGAGAAAUCCAUGCCUUAAAGAGAACCCAGUGAGGGGUUCAACUAAAAGUAUAUCAGAUGAUGCCUCCCCAUUAGCAAUCCGAUCAAUAUAAGGUUUGAGAUGUUCGUAAGUAACGAUGGGUACUUUUUUUUUAAAGAGUUGCUUGUCGGUUUGGCCAUGGAGGAAUCCCUGUAAAUACUCAGUUUCAGCAUUUUUACUCAGUAUUUCACCGAACAACUGGUCUUGGAUUUGUUGAGCAUCUGUUGUUAGUUCCUCCAUCAUCUUCAACCCACUUUCAUAAUCAUUUGUUGCCAUCAAAACUGGUUUUCUGGUCUGUAAACGAUUAGAUCCUGGAAAACCCUAUCUGUUUUGGUUUUUCUCUGACUUUGAAAUCUAUAUUGGACCGCACGUGAACAGAAGCUCAAUGUAUCUUCCUCAUGUUUUUUUCUUUAUCAUUUUAUCUUUCUUAAAUUUAAAUUUAAAUUUUUAAUUUUUAAUUUUUAAUAUAAUAUAAUUUUAUAUUUUUGAAAUGUUAUUAAUUAUCUCAAAUAGUUACUUUUGUUUUUUAUUCAAGGGAUUAAAUUUUUGAAAAUAAAAAUAGAACUAAAUUGCAAAUUUACGAAGUGUAGAGACUUAGAGUCAUGAUGUUUGAACCGGACCAAACCGACUGAUUAGAGCAGAAAUCGGCCGACUAUAUAAAGAGAGGUAUAAGAUCAGUUGACCUGUAAACUAGUAUGAACCGAUUAAACAAUGUUAAAAAAAUCAAUUGAACUAAUUUUUUAUUUUUGUGAUAUUUAAUGAUUUAUUUAAUUGAACCGUAUGAACUAGUGACCUGACCAAUUCGACUACUGAUCUAGUUGUGAAAAUCUUACUUAAAGUUUAUUUUAAUCUUCAAAAUUUUAACUUAAUAAUUUAAAGUAAGCACAAUGCGAAUGGCAAGUGGAGCAUACUAAUUUCAAUAUAAAGUAACUUCCAUAUCCGCCAUAGACAUACCCAAAUCUAUAUCCACAUAUUUUUGUGGUAUACAAAGUAUCUUUUUAUAUAUUUUAUAUAUUCAUAUCGUAUUAUACUUAAUAUAAGUUCGAAUACCAACUUGUAAGGGUUUCAAGUAACUACAUAUAUAAGAUAUAAGAACAUAAAAAUCAAUAUGACCAAUACCAAUACUAAUACGAUCCCAAUUGUAUUUAUUCUAUGUCUUUUUCAUUGAAGAAAACAAAACAUGUAAUAAAAAUUAAAAUUAAAAUUUUCUUUUAAGCAAGGGAUUUAAAAAAAAUAACACUGGAAUGAAAGUAAAUACUAAAGAAGAAAAUGUCACAAGACAUAAUCUAAAUUAAGAAGAAAUGAGUUCUAUUAUUUUCUCUGGAAAACAUUGCAAGGAUUAGUUGUCUUGUAUAGGAGUUCUUGGGCUGAAAAACUUGGCUAUAACUCUUGAAUCCAAUAUAUUUAAAGCUUCUUUAGAUUUGAUGCAAAUAGGUGUCUUGUAUUGGCUCAAAGAAGCUCC